rnacentral:rRNA from 1 species
AGUGAACGCUGGCGGUAGGCCUAACACAUGCAAGUCGAACGGCCGCACAGUAAGAGCUUGCUCUUACGGGUGGCGAGUGGCGGACGGGUGAGGAAUACAUCGGAAUCUACUUUUUCGUGGGGGAUAACGUAGGGAAACUUACGCUAAUACCGCAUACGACCUACGGGUGAAAGCAGGGGAUCUUCGGACCUUGCGCGAUUGAAUGAGCCGAUGUCGGAUUAGCUAGUUGGCGGGGUAAAGGCCCACCAAGGCGACGAUCCGUAGCUGGUCUGAGAGGAUGAUCAGCCACACUGGAACUGAGACACGGUCCAGACUCCUACGGGAGGCAGCAGUGGGGAAUAUUGGACAAUGGGCGCAAGCCUGACCCAGCCAUACCGCGUGGGUGAAGAAGGCCUUCGGGUUGUAAAGCCCUUUUGUUGGGAAAGAAAAGCAGCAGGUUAAUACCCCGCUGUUCUGACGGUACCCAAAGAAUAAGCACCGGCUAACUUCGUG